rnacentral:rRNA from 1 species
CCCUUAGACACUCUAGGCGGCACGCGCGCUACAAUGGGUGGAAGACCGUGUUACUGCCUUCGAAAGAAGGGGUGAAUCACGAAUUCUUACCCGUGAAUGGGAUAGUUUGUUGCAAUUUUCGGACUUGAACUAGGAAUCCCUUGUAAGCAUGCUCAAGAAUAGCGUGUUGAAUACGUCCCUGCCGUUUGUACACACCGCCCGUCGCUCCUACCGAUUGGGUGUGCUGGUGAAAUGUUCGGAUCGGCCGUUUGUCGCGGUUUCCGCGGCUCGUGGCUGAGAAGUUCAUUAAACCCUCCCACCUAGAGGAAGGAGAAGUCGUAACA